UGACCUCGGAUCAGGUAGGGAUACCCGCUGAACUUAAGCAUAU
rnacentral:rRNA from 49 species